GAAGACGGACACGCUAGGACACGUGAUAGAGACGAUCGUAUUAGCCGAGGUGCACAGGCUGGUCGUCGUCGACCUUCAAGGUCGCGUAGAGGGCGUCAUCUCGCUCUCCGACAUCCUCUCCUUCCUCGUUCUCGUGCCGCACGACGAAGACGACGACGCCGCUGCAGGGGGCGCCACCGUCAAGCCGCCGCUGAAGAUACACAUCGGCGGCGACGACGACGACGAGGGAACCGACCAGGAGGGCGGCUGCAGUAGCGGAGGAGGAGGAGGAGGAGGAGGAGGAGGAGGAGGAGGAGGAGGAGGAGGGAAGUCGCCACGCGUGGCCACCGCGUGAGAAGAAUAACGCAUGACGGCAUCGCGCAGCACCGGCGCCCCCUGUGUGCGGCGUCACGAGCGACUCGCCAGCGCAAGACAAACCUCCAUGCUGCAGCGGAGAGUAGCGCGGGCUGUCGACAUGUGGCGCCAUCUCUCGGAGCGAAUGGGAACCGGUUCGGUCGCUGAGGUCCGAAGGUCCACUGUUUGCUGUGAAGUUUUUUUUUCUGCGCACGAAUGAAAUCGCGCUUCGGUGAAAUUUCGUGCGCGCUUUGUGCUGCACUAGGUGUCGCCGGCUCCGCGGAGGUUUGCUACGAUCGACGUGUCUUUUCGCGUAAGCCUAACACUCAGCCUCUCUCUCUGUAACCUUAAGUUUUGCUCCUAACUACCUUCAACUCAAACUUUUUUUCUGUUGUCGAGAUUUGAGAGCGCUAUUCGGUCCAUCCUGUGCAUAACCGCCACUCGAUGGGACAUGCCAAAAGUGGCCUUUAUCGACAGGUGGCCUUUCUGUAGAGGCGGUCGCUAACAUGACCGUAUCUACGCUGAUCUCGCUUGCUUGUGCGCCGCAUGUUUCCCCCGCACCACGCGAGAUUGCAUUUUACGUGAUUGCUACGCCCUUUCGACGUGAGUUUUUAUUUAAUAGACGCGAUCUCCAAGUACAAAUCUCAACCCCUCCUCUCACGCUAACACUAACGUGAACGCUAGGGAAUUCGACUCUAACCUUAACCCUUUCUUAAUGGGAAUUAAUUAUCGUUGAUAGGAAAACUUUCGCUAGCCGGCGGUGUCUACUCAUUUCACCUGUAGUGCGUGUGCGCGCGCUCCCUCUGUCAUUUUAAUAGCUGAUAUACACGUGUACAGAUGUUUUGAGCAAAAUAAAAAUGGUACUCGACAUAAACGUUGCGCUCUCUUGCAUUACCAAACUUGAGUCGGUGAGCCUUGACCUUCGGACCUGAUGACCUUUGAACCGGUGACCCCUCGGAGUGGCGUGCGAUCGGGGCCUUGCUGGGCAGGGUUGGCUAGUCCCCUUACCCAGCACCCGGCAUCGCUAGACAGUGUGUACCGGAACUGACAGCUGCGCAACGGACUCGUUGCUAUGGCAACUCAAAUGACUGUCUAUACAGCAACUCGAUUGACUGUCGCUAUGGUAGCACGUUCGAUCGUCGCUACGGCGACGCCAAUGACAAUCGCCGAUGCAACUCGGUCAGCCGUCGCUACGGCAACAGGGAAGACAAUUACUGAUGCAACUCGAUCGACCGUCGCUACGGCAACAAGGAAGACAAUCACUGAUGCAACUUGGUUGUCCAUCGCUACGGCAACUCGCUCGACCAUUGCUACGGCAAUAAAAAAGACAGUCGCUGCUGCAACUUCGUUGUCUGUUGCUAAGACAACACGAUAGACCGUCGCUACAGCAACUUGAUCGACCGUCGCUAUGGCAACUUGAUUGACCGUCGCUACGGCAACCCCAUUGACUAUUGCCACGGCGCACGUGUGGAGAUUGUUGCGUGUGUAGUGCGUAGCAUCAGGGGGCAGACGGCGUUUGAUCGGCAGCUUCCCAGCAUCUUCCUCAUCCUUGUGUUGAUUAGCUAAUUAGCCGCGACAAUUGGGUCGCUACGUGACGCCGCUCGGCGCUGAAGCGACGCGUGACAAGUGAACAUCCCGACCGUGCCCUCUGCUUCUGUUGUCGCUUUGUUAUUGUAAGCAUGAAUACAGAAGAUUGCGAGGGUAGUGUGUGUAGAUGCGUGCGUGCGUGCGUGUGUGCGUUCUUGCGUGCGUGCGUGGGUGUGUGUGUGCGUG